GUCUAGGAUAUCUCAGCUGGUAGAGCAUAACACUCUUACUUUAAGAGUCAUGGGUUCAAGUCUCAUGCUGGGCA